GGCGGCAUAGCCAAGUGGUAAGGCCGGGGUCUGCAAAAUCCCUAUCCCCAGUUCGAGUCUGGGUGCCGCCU
rnacentral:tRNA from 1 species